GACGAGCGCUGGCGGCGUGCUUAACACAUGCAAGUCGAACGGUAAGGCCCUUCGGGGUACACGAGUGGCGAACGGGUGAGUAACACGUGGGUGAUCUGCCCUGCACUUCGGGAUAAGCUUGGGAAACUGGGUCUAAUACCGGAUAGGACCACGGUCUGCAUGGAUUGUGGUGGAAAGCUUUUGCGGUGUGGGAUGGGCCCGCGGCCUAUCAGCUUGUUGGUGGGGUGAUGGCCUACCAAGGCGACGACGGGUAGCCGGCCUGAGAGGGUGUCCGGCCACACUGGGACUGAGAUACGGCCCAGACUCCUACGGGAGGCAGCAGUGGGGAAUAUUGCACAAUGGGCGCAAGCCUGAUGCAGCGACGCCGCGUGGGGGAUGACGGCCUUCGGUUGUAACCGUACUUUCUAGCAUCGACGAAGCGCAAGUGACGGUA
rnacentral:rRNA from 1 species